rnacentral:lncRNA from 1 species
UUUAUUUAAUCUUAUUCUAUUUUCCUUUAUUUAUUUGCCUUUAUUUUCCUUUAUUUUUUCCUUUAUUUAUUUUCCUUUUUUUUCCUUUAUUUAUUUUCCUUUAUUUUUUCCUUUAUUUAUUUUCCUUUAUUUUUUCCUUUAUUUUCUUUUAUUUUCCUUUAUUUUUUCCUUUAUUUAUUUUCCUUUAUUUUUCCUUUAUUUUCCUUUGUUUUUCUUUUUUUUCCCCUUUAUUUUCUUUUAUUUUUCCUUUAUUUUCCUUUAUUUAUUUUUUCCUUUAUUUUUCCCUCUAUUUAUUUUCCUUUAUUUUCCUCUAUUUAUUUUCCUUUAUUUUUUCCUUUAUUUUCCUUUAUUUUUUCCUUUAUUUAUUUUCCUUUAUUUUUUCCUUUAUUUUCCUUUAUUUAUUUUCUUUUAUUUUUCCCUCUAUUUAUUUCCCUUUAUUUUCCUUUCUCUCACGUUCUUUCCCUUCCUCCCAUUUUAACUUAGUUCAGCUUUUCCCUUCCUUUCUCUUCCUUUUAUUCCCCUGAUUUCUUUUCAUCCCUUUCCAUUUCUGUACCUUUUAUCUCCUUUUUAUUUCCAAUUUCUUUCCUUUUUACGCUUUUAUUCCUUUCCCUUUCCCAUCCUUUGUUUUUACCCCUCUUCCACCCCCCUUUUUUCCAUGGAUUUUGGGGUUUCCAGUGGGAAUUCACGGCUGGAGGGGAAACUGAGGCAGGACUCUCUGUGCCCACAGGUGCCAGGGGGGCGUGGGGGGUGCCCCCCGUGUCCCCACGGUGUCCCCGAGCCCUGGGCCCACAGUGAGGACCCCAAAACCACCCCGAACCCAGGAGCAGCCCCCCAAAAAGCGACCCCGAAACGCCCCGAGCCCGCGGAGGAGGAACCGGAGGAGCCGUGCCCGCCCUGCGGCCCCGAGGGGGCCCUGCCGGUGCCGGGGGACCCCCGAGUGACACCGCCGGUACCGGGGGUGCCCCCCGAGCCCCCCGGGGACAUCAUCCCCCUGUACUGCGCCCUCCUGGCCGGCCUCGUCGUGGGGCUCGUGGCCUACGUGGCCUUCAAGUGCUGGGGCACCUGCCGGAGGAAGCGGCAGCUGGACAAGGCGCGGGACGCGGCGGAGGCGGAGAAGCCGCGGGGGGACGGCGGCGGCAGCACCGAGAGCGCCGGUCCGGAGCGGGGCCAGCCCGGUGAGCGCCCCGGGAGCGCGGCCGGGGGACACCGGGGGUUUGGGGACACCGGGGACCGGGGGACUGG